CCGCGCUCCGAAGGCGUGGCAGGUUCUCUCGCCUCUUACCCUAAAUCUUCAGAGGAAGUAAGAGCCAGGCCCACAGCUGGAUGGGAACCGGGCCAGGAAAAGAGGACGCUCCUUUGUUGUUCCCGUUCUCUGAUUGAUUUGGCGACCGUCUGCUGAAGCCGAGUGCGGUGCCGUGACUGGCUGGGGGUCCCAGAGAAGUGGGAGACAGCUGCCGCCUUGGCAGGGCUCACGUUGAGGAGGGACACUCCUGAACGCGAGUGCUUACUGUCUUGGACCGUGGAGCCAUCCGAGGGUCGUGUCCGGCCCGAUGCCUGGAUC
rnacentral:lncRNA from 1 species